rnacentral:lncRNA from 1 species
GUGGAGAGCAGCACAGCUGUUGUAGCCAUGGCCGUGCUAAUUCGACCCGCACACCUGACCACCAAACAGAUGACAGUGUCUGGCCAAGACCAGAAGCCGUGUGGAGUCUUCAGCAAUGCCGAAUGCUGCCGGGGAUGCUUGUUAGGCGGCAGCAGCUAACUGACACGGGAACCCUGUAGAGGAUUUUGCCAAAACUUGACUGAACAGAACCAAUCACUGAGGAAAAGUCCAUAGCUCAGCCAAUGAUGGCAGCCCCUGCAGUCAGUCACAGAAGGGAAUAAGAGGGCUCUCAGCCCUCGGAAGCUCUGCCCUGGGCCAGCGUCCUGGGCAGGAGGGUGGGACAGCAAAUGGCGACUUUGCUGUGUCUUAGGUGGAGUUGGGGUUCAGAAUAACAUAACGUUAGUGUGUGAGAGGCAGUCUCAAAGCAGGGUUUGUGCAAGGUCUACCCAAAUAUAAUAUACUACAACCAUGGGUGCUGCAUCCUGUGACACCUGUUAAACUAACACGUAGCAUCUUAAAUGUGAUAGUUUGAAGGAGUCCCUAGACUUGACUUCCAGAUUGACCAAACUAACCUGCCAGAGUCUCACCCUUCUUGCAAAGCAGACAAGGACAUGCCCACGAGUGGCCUCAAAUGCACGCAUCAUCUCCAGAGUGACGUGCGGGGUGCUGGUGUCAGAACAGCUGGAUGGAACACAGGCCUGAUCCCACGGAAGGCGACCACUAGUCCCAAUCACUUCCAUGCUGAGAAGGGCUCUGGGGUGCGGUGUCUACGCGGGAGUCUGAGCUACUGAGUGGGGCCCAGCAGGAGCCUCUGCAGGGCAAUGGUGAGGAGGCUGUCUCCAGCAAACACCCCACCCCACCCCAGCGGUGUAGCUGGGGUGACCAGGGCAGGAAAUAGAACUCUGUUGAAAGGGGUGGAGAGUAGUAACAGGAUGGGUCCCUGGGAAGGAACCCAGUGCCUGUGGUGAGAAUGGGUAUCCUGCCGAACUUGGCUGGAACUGGGGCAGGGGCUGGGCUAAGACUGUGUGUUGAUGGCUCUGAGUUCCUUUGGGAGCCUGAAGCGAUCACCAAUGGCUACAGAGGAGAAGCGGAGCCAUCGAACCACUCCCUGCAAAUGGUGGGCAUCGCUGGCACAUGGGUGGCAGGGAGGAUGGCUGGAGGCUGGGAGAUAGCAUGCAAAUGACACAUGUGUGGCAGGGAGGAGGUGGUGGGAACAGGCAGUUGAUUGGGUCCAUUAGCUCUUCCAUAAGUAUAAGUUUCUAAAAGGAACAGGCUCUAAGUUCAGGUAAAUUUUUUUCCCCAAUGACUGCUGGGAAGUAAAGUUGGGAGGGUAGAAGGAGGGGAAGACUGACUGCCCUUUAAAUUUAGUUUCCUUUGUUCCAAAUCAGGGUCUUGAAAUGCAUCAAAUAAAGCACAGACUAAACAAGUGGGGUGAGGGAGG